CUUAUACUCCCUCCGUCUCAAAAUUCUUGUCUUAGAAUUGUCUAGAUACAGAUGUAUCUAAUACUAAAACGUGACUUGAUACAUCCGUAUUUAGACAAAUCUAAGACAAGAAUUUUGAGACGGAGGGAGUAUAUU
rnacentral:pre_miRNA from 1 species